GACGAACGCUGGCGGCGUGCUUAACACAUGCAAGUCGAACGGAAAGGCCCCUUUGGGGGUACUCGAGUGGCGAACGGGUGUGUAACACGUGAGUAACCUGCCCUUGACUUCGGGAUAACUUCAGGAAACUGGGGCUAAUACCGGAUAGGAAUCCUUGCUGCAUGGUGGGGGUUGGAAAGCUUCGGCGGUUUUGGAUGGACUCGCGGCUUAUCAGCUUGUUGGUGGGGUAGUGGCUUACCAAGGCUUUGACGGGUAGCCGGCCUGAGAGGGCGACCGGCCACAUUGGGACUGAGGUACGGCCCAGACUCCUACGGGAGGCAGCAGUGGGGAAUAUUGCACAAUGGGCGGAAGCCUGGUGCAGCAACGCCGCGUGCGGGAUGACGGCCUUCGGGUUGUAAACCGCUUUCAGCAGGGGCGAAGCUUGUGGUGACGGUACCUGCAGAAGAAGCACCGGCUAACUACGUG
rnacentral:rRNA from 1 species